GCGGGUAUGGUUCAAUGGUAGAACAUUUGGUUGCCAAUCAAAUGACCCGGGUUCGAUUCCCGGUACCCGCACUA
rnacentral:tRNA from 1 species